rnacentral:rRNA from 1 species
CCUACGGGAGGCUGCAGUGAGGAAUAUUGGUCAAUGGCCGAGAGCCUGAACCAGCCAAGUCGCGUGAGGGAAGAAUGUUCUAUGGAUUGUAAACCUCUUUUGUCAGGGAGUAAAGUCCCCCACGUGUGCGUGUUUGUGUGUACCUUAAGAAAAAGCAUCGGCUAACUCCGUGCCAGCAGCCGCGGUAAUACGGAGGAUGCGAGCGUUAUCCGGAUUUAUUGGGUUUAACGGGUGCGUAGGGGGGUAAUAAAGUCAGCGGUAAAAUCUUGGGGCUCAACACCAGACUGCCGUUGAAACUGGUGGACUUGAGUGGGCGAGAGGUAGGCGGAAUGCGUGGUGUAGCGGUGAAAUGCAUAGAUAUCACGCAGAACUCCGAUUGCGAAGGCAGCAUAC